UUACGGCGACAUCACGUUGAAACGCCCGUUCCCUUACGAUCACCAAGGUUAAGCAACGUCGAACCUGGUCAGUACCUAGAUGGGUGACUGCUUGGGCAUACCAGGUGCUAUAA